AUGUCGCGCACCGUUGAGAUGGAGGAAGCGGAGGAGGUGCUCAGCCGGGCGAUGGUGGCCACCAUCACUGGGACUCGUCCCCAGGUGUCCGCCGACGACGUCGCUGAGCUCCUCUACUCCACGUUCGGCUUUGAAGAAGGCGACUUCACCACCCACCUCCACAAGCCGGAAGAUUUCCUGAUCAUCAUCGGCUCCCGCGCCUCCAAGGACCGCAUGAACGGCGACCACUACAUCCGCUGCUCGCGCUUCUCACUGUCGCUUCGCCCAUGGUGCAAACUUGCCCACGCCGGCUCCGGUGGGUUCGAAUACCGCGUCGAGCUCGAGCUCCGCGGCAUCCCCGCCCAUGCCUGGCACUUAGCGACGGCGGAGCACAUCCUCGGGACCGGUGUCUGGAUUGAGCGCCUCCAUCCGCAGACGCGCUCCCGCGCCGACCUGGCCACGUUCCGCCUCUCUGGUCGCGCGCACGACCCUGCCGACAUCCGCCGCGCUGCGACGCUGGAAAUCGUCGAGGUCACUCCGGGACGCACCGCCUCCUCCGCCCCCACAGUCACCACCCUCAUGUACCCCAUCGCCAUCGCCCUUGCCCGAUCCGACGUCGACCGAGCUCGCGCCCCCUCCAGUCAUGCAGCUCGCCCAGAUGGCGCGGGUGACGGGCGCGCGGCGGCUGAUGGCGAUGUUGAUGCCGGCUAG
rnacentral:rRNA from 1 species